ACGGGGUGCAGCAGGCGCGAAAACUUUGCAAUGUGCGAAAGCACGACAAGGUUAAUCCGAGUGAUUUGUGCUAAACGAAUCUUUUGUUAGUCCUAGAACCACUAACGAAUAAGGGGUGGGCAAGUUCUGGUGUCAGCCGCCGCGGUAAAACCAGCACCUCAAGUGGUCAGGAUGAUUAUUGGGCCUAAAGCAUCCGUAGCCGGCUCUGUAAGUUUUCGGUUAAAUCUGUACGCUUAACGUACAGGCUGCCGGGAAUACUGCAGAGCUAGGGAGUGGGAGAGGUAGACGGUACUCGGUAGGAAGGGGUAAAAUCCUUUGAUCUAUUGAUGACCACCUGUGGCGAAGGCGGUCUACCAGAACACGUCCGACGGUGAGGGAUGAAAGCUGGGGGAGCAAACCGGAUUAGAUACCCGGGUAGUCCCAGCUGUAAACUAUGCAAACUCAGUGAUGCAUUGACUUGUGGUCAAUGCAGUGCUGCAGGGAAGCCGUUAAGUUUGCCGCCUGGAAG
rnacentral:rRNA from 1 species